AGAACUAGCAAAGGAAUAUAUAAAUGUUAAAUUUCCAUCAUCAAUUCCCACCAGUUAGAUUUGGAUCAAUUAAAUAUGUCAUAUUUAAUCCGCGGGGAAGGAAUUCAGCGAAUGCGAGAAGCUUAUCUUGCAUCAUCAAUGUGUAUUUCGGAAAAAUCACGAUUGUACAAAUUUUGUGCUACAACUGGAAUAUGGGCUAGUUUAAUAUGCUGAGGCUCUCAAUCUCUAGGCUGAGUCCUUGCUCACAGUUGUGUUAAUCUAUUAGAAGAAUUAAAAAUUUUUAUUGAUUUAAACAUACAGCAUGUCAUCUAAAAUUAAAAGAAUAAAAUAGAAAGGACAUUACCAAAUGCUGAUUUGCUAGAAAUUCUGCCUGGAAAAUCUCAUACUGCCGCAUGUAAAAAUCAUUGUCCGUUGGUUGUUACACAUACAUUUAAAAACAAAUCAAACAUUAUUCAAUGGUGGGUUUUGUAAUUUCUAUAUAAUGAAAAUCAAAAUUGCAUACUCAUAUUAAUACCCUUAUUAUUUGAACCAAAGGAGUCUUCCCGAUAUUUAAAGCUCAACUUCUUCAUGAAAAAAGACAGGCUUCUUGUGGCAUCACUCACUACCACAGAAUGUAGAUGUCCUUGCCAACACACCACAUUAAAAGCAUCCCAAAUGCCUGAAAAAAAAAAUUAGACAAAUGUACACAUUUAGUGGGAAAUCGUUAUUAUGCCUAAUAAUAUCUGUAAAAGUUUCAAAAAUUUCAUUGUGAUAAAUAAUACAGGGAAGAACUGCCUUCUUUAA